AACCAUAGAAACCUGCGGAGUACCUGCGGAGGGAUCAUUACCGAGUUUACAACUCCCAAACCCCUGUGAACAUACCUAUACGUUGCCUCGGCGGAUCAGCCCGCGCCCUGUAAAACGGGACGGCCCGCCCGAGGACCCUAAACUCUGUUUUUAGUGGAACUUCUGAGUAAAACAAACAAAUAAAUCAAAACUUUCAACAACGGAUCU
rnacentral:misc_RNA from 1 species